UCGAGUUGGUUAAAACGUCUAUUUUGAAAGUAGAGAUCAUUUUAUGAUUCGUAGGUUCGAGUCCUACCCUUUUCA
rnacentral:tRNA from 1 species